rnacentral:misc_RNA from 1 species
UCACGGUAUCAAGCGUGGCUUGUUGUUGGGCCCUUUGUCACCGGGUGACAGGUCCGAAAGACAAUGACCGGUGGGAACAGACUCCACAUGCAACGAGCUGACCACAGCACGCAUCUGGCAGUUGUGUGACCCGGUGUGACCCCCCUUCUUUCUCCA